AAAAUUUAUAUAAGAUUUUUAAUUUUGUAUAAAUUUUUAUUCAUUUUAAUCUUAACUAAAAUUAAUGAUUAAUUAAUUUACUAUUUCUAUAUGAAUAAGAGGGUAAUUAUCCUCAUGGACAAGUAUAAGAUCGAUUUUAUCGAAUAAAGUUCUAGAUAGAAAAGUGAUUAUGACAAUUUUCUAUCUACAUGUCUUGACCAAUAUACGUGCCAGCAGUCGCGGUAAUACGUAGAAGACUAGUGUUAUUCAUCUUUAAUAGGUUUAAAGGGUACCUAGACGGUAUAAUUAGUCUAUAAUAAGAUACGAUUAUACUAGAGUUAUAUGUAAGAAGGUGAGUAUUCAAGGAGUAGAGUUAAUAUUCAAUUAUACCUUGGAGACUGGUAACGGCGAAAGCAACCUUUUAUCUAAUAACUGACGUUGAGGAACGAAGGCUUGGGUAACGAAUAGGAUUAGAUACCCUAGUAGUCCUAGCAGAUAAUUAUGAAUGCCAUAGAUUAGAUUUAUUUAGUCUAUAAAUGAAAGUGUAAGCAUUUCACCUCAAGAGUAAUGUGGCAACACAGGAACUGAAAUCAUUAGGCCGUAUCUGAAACCAGUAGUGAAGUAUGUUAUUUAAUUCGUAGGUACGCGAAAAACCUUACCACAACUUGAAUAUUUUUUUUUGUUUAC
rnacentral:rRNA from 1 species